CGGAAUUCAACCAAUUUCCCUUAUCAUCCUCCAACCAUUAAUCAUUUUCCUCUUCACAUACUAGCUUAACAACUUCGCAUAUUCCCUCUAUCCACAUUGCAUAGUUGUGCAACAAAUCACGCUUGCCUUUACACUUAACACGUCCAAAUAUUCCUCUAUUCUUGUAUCAGAUUCACUUACCUAACGUCCGUAAAUCAACACUG